rnacentral:tRNA from 1 species
AUUUUUAGUGGUUUUGAAGCUAUAUGCAAUUAAAUGCAAAUAUUGUUUAUCUGACUCAUAAUCAGGGGGUCCAUGGUUCGAGCCCAUGUGGGACCA